rnacentral:lncRNA from 1 species
UUGUUCCGUAAUUAGCAUCCCCUGUUGCUUUAUUCACAUACUAUAACCUAAUUCUGAAGCGUGGAGUUGAGAAGUUAAUGUCCAUCGUAAACAAUGCAAGGGUUCGUGGUAAUUUGCAAAAUUUCCCUCGUCCUUUGACUUUUUUUUUUGUCAAUUCUACUCUAAUCCUCAUCUAACACUUACUCUUAGACUUUUGCCCUGCCUCAUUGCAAGGCGUGAGAGUCGAAACCCAUUCCUGAAAUAAAAUCGUCCCUACCCCAAUUUCUCCCCUGAGAAGGUGGGGAUUUGAACCCCUCACCUCUCCCUUCCAAGUUGGAAGGGUGGCCACUGGGGUCGUCUUUUGACUUGAAACACUUACAUUUGCAUACAACACUUUGGUUAAAUUUAGUAAUACGAGGGAAAAUAAUUUUUUAUUUUUUCCCACAUCCUUGGCCAAGAUGAGAAAUCAGUUGAAUGUAUUCAAUUUUGGAUGUAUAUGUCACGAUGUAAGCAAUCAUUGUCAACAUGCCCAUCAUUACUAAUACAAACUCGAUUGCAUAGUUCAGUUCUUAAAUUUAUUCAUGUUUGGUUUUUCAUUGAACAUUUACUAAAAAAGCUAUCAAGGAAAUAAUCACCAAUGGAUCAAAGGAAUACUACAAUCAUAACAUUACGAGCAAAAACCAAAAGGUUAUUUUGGAAAUCUAUCAUGAAGCUUUUUAUCAAGAGUGACCCUUGGAAAAGAGUGUGAAACCAUUGAAACCAAUUUUUGGCUUAGUCUAGUAUGCAGAUCAAAUUGCCAGGCCAACUGAAAUUAGUUUUCAAUCAUUAUCACAGGUGUGAGGUGUUUUCCUAUUUUCUUUAUAGGUGAGAUGGGUAUAACUAAUUGAUUGAAGAUCUCAAUGGAAGUCUUUAUGCUUUAUAAGGAGAUACUAAAAAAUUUUCAUGUUCCCUCUUCUAAGUGAUGCACCAAUGUCUAAAUUAGCUAUUGAUAAUAAUUUUGUAGUAUUAACGGAUGAUGCUUUUUAAAUUAAAAAAAGUAAAACUAAAAGUACAUUCUUGUUCAUUCAUGGUGUCUAGAUUUGUUUUAGCUUGUAAUCUUGUCUGUGCCUCCUUCCCUUUUUAUUUUUAUUUUUAGGGCUUGUAGUUCCUGAUAUUCCUUUGGAAGAGACUGAAAUCUUAAGAAAUGAAGCUCUUAAGUACAAAAUCAAACUGGUUUGUCAGACUCUUAAAACAACUUAAUGCUCUUCACCAUUUACUUGUUUAAAUUCCUGAGGAUGACGCUAUGCAUUAUGGAUAUAAAUUCUAAUCUUGGAAUUAAAAUGACAGAUCUACCUUCAGUUUAUAUCAUCACAGAAUCGUAAUUUACACAUGUUUUUGCUAAUUGUUUCCUCAUAACUAGACAAAAAGUCAAAUGGUUCUUCAGUUUGUGAUUUUAUCGUAGUUAGUUGUGCACCUUGUUCUUUGUCCAUGUCCAUGUUGCUAUCGUAAGAUAGGUCUGUCUUUUGUUCUGUUGUAAACUGAUAUACACAUCAAUGAAAUGUUUACUACAUGGGGCCUGCAUUGAGGUCUGCUUUUAGUUAUGUAAUAUUGGCCUGCUUUGUUGAAGUCUGUUGAAUCUAUCUCACCUUACUCUAGCCUCUGGAACCAUAUGAUUCAGGUUUUGCUUAAUGAAAGCGAUUGUUGAAGCCUCGGAAGGAUUUGUAUAUCUUGUAAGAUCAUUUAUGCCAUUCAUCCUUAUCCAAUACUGGUCAUUUGUAUUGAUGAUGAGAAUUUCUUAUCAAAAUUGAUGUAGACUAUUAGACAUAGAUUAUUAAUGUAAUUGAUAGUGUGUUGAUCAUGUUCUAGCCGCUAAUUAGAUCAAGCGUAGCACAUUUGUCUGCAUCAAUGAAGUCAAUGAAAGGACAGAUAGAUCCAUGCACCUAGGCGUGUCUGUAGGUAUACAUGCAAAAGCAAGUCUCCGGAUUAGAAUAGUAUCUGAUUUGAAGAGUUAAGGCAACAUUGAUGUUGCUUUUGUGGUUUCAUUGUUCUUGCUGAUCUUUAAUGGAAAAGUUUUUUGGUUUCGUGCAAUAGAUUUUGCAUUCACUUGCUUCACAAAUGAAAGUUUCACGUAUAGUAGUCUUACAGCCACGAAACAUGCAUGAAAUAUAUGUAAUUGUUAUUGUGGGUAGUCUAGUGUCAGCAUUUCAUGUGAUUGUAUCGUUAGAUUUUUCUUUUUGAGUUUCUACAUUUUUUUAGUUCAUUCACAAAGAGAUGACAUGGCCAUUUAUUUAAUUUAUUAUAGGUGAGCUCUAUUGGAGUAACUGGGGCUCGAGGAUCUGUGAAUGCUCGUGUAGAAAAUCUCUUGCACGACAUUAAGGAGGUCGGUUGAUUCAGAACAUUUCACUUGUUUCAUAAUGUGCGAUUUCAUGUCAUCAACUACCUAGGAAUACUCUUUAAGAUACUUAUCAUGAUUAAUUUAGUUUUCAAAUGAUAUUUUCAAUUUGUGGAUUGUCCUCAUAUAUUUGCAACAGAAAAAAAAUUCAAUACAGCCUCAAAUCUUAUGGAUAUGAGCAGCCUACAUUUAUGGCCCUUUAAACAUGAUGGUAAUAAUACAUUCUUUAGAGAGUAGGAAUUUUGUCCUUAAAGCUUCGGUUUCAUUCCUUUAAUUGUUCUAUGCGGCUUUAAACAAAUCUGACCGAAGGUGUAUUUGAAAUAAACACAUCAGUGGGUGUCAUAUUGAAACUUCUAGAGCUCCAAGACUGCAGGAUAAUUAAAUAAUUAACUGACCAAAAAUUUUGCCUGAAGUCUCCUAUAUGGUUUUCUGUAGCAUGUCUUGUUAGAAUCAUAAUGAGUUCAUAGUUGGUUGAUAAGUAUAGACACCAAUAAUCCACAUGCAGAUUAACAAUCAACAUUUCAGGAAGUUCACUUCACUUCUAGCUCCAUCAUGGGGUUUUUACCUGGCAUCCAAUUAGAGAGACACUUAAAGAUGGUCCUGUGUAUGUUCAUCAACUUAUAGAACACUUUUUACCACUUUGAGUUAUGGAUAUAAAUUCUAAUCUUGGAAUUAAAAUGACAAAUCCACGUUGAGUUUAUGUCAUCACAAAAUUGUAAUUUACACAUGUUUUUGCUAAUUGUUUCCCCAUCAAGGAUAAUUUUCGUAAAGUAAAAUACAAAUUCUAAAGAUAUCAAAUAACUCGCCAACUGGGUCAUAGUGAUGCCAAUUGCACAACACGGUGCAUGCAACCUUAAAGAGAAAAUCUCUUAUCAACAUAUUUAAUGAUUUAGGUCUCCAUUUAUUUGAAAAAUAUUUAAUAAUUAUAAAGUGUCAUAUCACAAGCCAAUAUUAUUAUCAUCACUAUCAGAUUCUAAGGGAUUUUUUUUAUGCAAUUCCAACUCUCAUAUGCCGUACAUGUGCCGUGCAUGUGUCGAGCAUGCAUUGUGCACAUGUUGUGCUUGUUUUAAUACUAAUGUAAAAAAUCUAAAAUUUGAUUAAAAAAUAUCACAAACCCAAAUCAACAUAAGUAUAGAAAAGUCGCAAUUACUUAAGUGUAUAUAUGAAGCAAUGUUAUUUCAUAAAACACGUUAUAAAUCAAAUGAACUAUUGUAUUGUAACAGAGCAAUACUAAGCAUUAUAAUAUCGAAUAAAUUAUUGCAAAGUAAAAGAGCAAUACAAAGUAUAAUAAUACCAACAAAUGAAAUUUCAUGAUUACAACAAUAACAUUUGAUUGAGAUGUUCAAGAUUCUAGCUAGUUUAAUUUGACAUCAUCCUGAAAGGUGAGAAGAUUUUAAAAUCCUAGGACAUAAUAUUAAGGGUCUCAGUCGCAUUACUCCUUCAACCUUUUAAUCUUCUGGGAGAGGAUUUCCAAUUGGUCAUUUUGUUGAACAAUUUCUUAUCUCCUUUAGAGUCAUCCCCUUCGUCUCCGGCAUAAUAGGAUAAAUGUAAACCAAUGCGAAGACUGUCAUACCUAUAAAUAUGAAAAACGGCAGUCCAUCAAGAGUAAUUUUCUUGAAGUAAAACACAAAUCCUAAGGAUAUCAAAUUGCUUGCCAGUCGGUUCACCGCGACAUCGAUUGCAACCCCAGUGCAUACAACUUUAGAGAUAAUACCUCUUAUCAACAUAUUCAAUGAUCUACAGGUUCCUGAGCACCUUGUGUCUGAUUCCGACGCUCCUGCUAGGGCGACUGUGGCGUUUCUCUAUUCGUACACUGGCGAGUCUUGCAAACAGCGUCUGGAGGAUCUUGGGUUUUCUUUUCCAUCUCUCUCAGCUGGUAAUGAUCGCUUUGUGUGGCAUCAACAUGCUUCAGGUUCUUUCUUUGUGGCCUCAGCUUGGAAUUUUAUUAGAAUCUCUAAAGCAAGAGUUCCGUGGACCUCCUUUGUGUGGGACAAGGACUUAGCCCCUCGGUUUCAGUUUCUUUUGUGGCUCACCACUAAGAAACGUUUGCCUACCCAGGCAUUUUUACUCUCUCAUGGAAGAAUUGACUAUUCGGCGUGCACCUUUUGCAAUUCUCAGCCGGACUCUAUUGACCACUUGUACUUUAGCUGCAAUUUUCCAACGACUUUAGUUUACUUCUGGGCUACCAGAUGCAAUCCACCGUGGAGAAAUGGCACUUGGGAACAAAACCUUGAUUGGGCCCGGAGGUUCCUUGCUGGUAAUGACUUCUUUCAUAGUCUCUCUCGGUAUUCCUUUGGUGCUCUGUGCUAUCUUAUUUGGAAGAAAAGAAAUGCCAUGAUUUUUCGAGGGGAUUCGUUGGAUAUUCCCACUUUGAAGAACUGUUUGAUUAGGAUGGUUAAGGAAAAGGCCCUUACUUAUAGAGAUGUGCCUGACACUCCAAGGAAUCGGCGCUUACAGAGAGGUUGGGGUUUCGACCCAGCCAUUACCCAGCCAUUUUCACAUAAGAUUGCAGGUCUUUUGUUGAUCCGUAUUGCUUCCUCUUGUUCCCUGUCUCGGUCACUUCUGGCCUUUGUGUUCCUGCCUUGCGCAUUUCCCUCUUCGGCUUCACGGGCGUCCUUGGAGGUUUAUGGUUGAAGCUGGUGGAUGGGUAGUUCUACGUGUCCUGCCUUGCGCUCUCCCCCUCGACUUCCCUGGCGUCCUUGGAGGUUUCGUGGCCAAGUUGUUGGCUGGGCAGUGUUUGUUUAGUUUGUGCUUUUGCCUUUUAUGGCUUUUAUGCGGCUCCCUUCUACUCUUGUGCUCUUGCAUCUAGAGUGUAAGCUUUUGGUGCCGUUUUUUUGUACAUUUGUCCAAAGCUAUCAAUAUUUUCUUACCUUUACAAAAAAAAAAAACAUAUUCAAUGACUUAGUUUUUACCAAAAAAAUAAAAACAUAUUAAAUGACUUAGGCCUCCAACCAUUUAGAAAAUAUUCAAUAGUUACAAAGUGUCACUUCACAACCUGACAUUAUCAUCAUCACUUUCAUAUUUUAAGGGAUUUUCAUCAUACAAUUUCGACUCCCAUAUGUUGUGCAUGUGCCGAGCAUAUGUUGAGCAUGCAUCAUGCAAGUGUUAUGCAUGUUCUAACACUAACAUAAAAUAAAAAAAAAUAAAAAAAAUAAAAAAAAAACAUAAAAUUCAAUUGAAAAAAAAAAUCACAAAUCCAUAUUAACAUAAGUACUAAAAAGUCACAAUUAUUUGAGUAUACAUAUGAAAUAAUGUCAUAUUCGUAAAACAUGUUAUAAAUCGAAUAAACUAUAGCAUUGUAAAAGAGCAAUACUAAGCAUAGGAAUAGCGGAUAAACUAUUGCAUAAUAAAAUAACAACACUAAGUAUAGUAAUAUUGACAAUGAAAUUCAAUUAUUACAACUUUAAUAACAUUUGAUUGAGAUAUUGAAGAUUCCUAGAUAAUGUUAAUUUGACAUCGCCCUCAUGGGUGAUGAGAAUUCUAAAUUCUAAAUAUAAUAUUAAGGUCUUCGGUCGCACUCCUCUUUUAACCUUCUAGUUUUUUGCUUAAGGAGCUCCAACAGGUUUGUUCGCCAAACAAUUCUCGUAUCUAGCAUAAUAAGGUAGAAAUAGACCUAUGUGAGGACCGCUACACCCAUAAAUAUGAAAAAUGGAAGUCCAUCAAGAGUAACUUUCUUGAAGUAAAAUACAAAUUCUAAGGAUAUUAAACCGCUCGCUAGCUGGCUCACAGCUACACCGAUUGCACAUCUCGGUACAUGCAACCUUAGAGGAAAGACCUCUUACCAAUAUAUUUGAUGAUUUAGGCCUCCAUCUAUUUAAAAAAAAAAUUCAGUGAUAACAAAGUGUUACAUCGCAAGUCAACAUUAUCGUCAUGAUUAUUAAAUUGUAUAGGAUUUUUUUCAUGCAAUUCCAACUCCCAUAUGCCGUGCAUGUGCCAAGCAUGUGCCAAGCUUGCAUCAUGCACAUGUUGUGGAUAUUCUAACACUACAUAAAAAGCUUAAAAUUCGAAUAAAAAAGUAUUACCAACCCAAAUUGACAUAAGUACUAAAAAGUCGCAAUUACUUGAGUGUACCAAUUCGUAAAAUAUGUUAUAAAUCGAAUGAACUAUUACAUUAUAAAAGAGCAAUACAAAGCACCAUAAUAUCAAAUGAACUAUUGUACAGUAAAAAAACAACACCAAGCAUAAUAAUAUCAACAAAUAAAAUUCAAUGAUUACAACUUUAAUAACAUUUGAUUGAGAUGUUCAAGAUUCCUAGAUAGUGUUAAUCUGACAUCUUCCUCACAAGUGAGGAGAAUUCGGAAUCCUAAACAUAAUAUUAAGUACAUUCGGUCGCACUGCUCCUUCUACCUUCUAGUCUUCUAGUUGAGGAUCUCUAAUGAGUCCUUUUACUAAACAAUUAUGCUAUUUCCUUCAUAAUCCUUUCCUCCGUCUCUGGCAUGAUAGGAUAGAGGCAGAUCAAUGUGAGGACCGCCACACUCAUAAAUAUGAAAAAUGGUAGCUCAUUAAGAGUAACUUCUUGGUAUAAAACACAAAUCUUAAUGAUAUCAAACCACUCGCCAGUUGGGUUACAAUGACGCUAAUUGCACACCACAGUGCAUGCAACCUUAAAUGAAAGACUUCUUACCAACAUAUUUGAUGACUUAGGCCUCCAUUCAUUUAGAAAAUAUUAAGUAGUUACAAAGUGUCAUAUCACCAACUAACUUAUCAUCAUUAGUAUCAAAUUCUAAAGGAUUUUCUUCAUGCAAUUCAGAUGCCUAUAUACCGUGCAUGUGUCGAGCACAUACCGAGCAUGCAUCAUGCACAUAUUGUGCAUGUUCUAGCACUAACAUAAAAAAAAAAACCUUAACAUUCGAUUGAAAAAACAUCACAAACCCAAAUUAACAUAAGUACUGAAAAGUCGCAAUUACUUAAGUGUACAUAUGAUACAAUGUCAUGUUCGUUAAACAAUUAUAAAUUGAAUGAACUAUUGCAUUGUAAAAGAGCAAUACUAAGCAUAGUAAUAUCAAAUGAACUAUUGCAUGGUAAAAGAAUAACACCAAGCAUAGUAAUAUCGACAAAUGAAAUUUGAUGAUUACAACUUCAAUAACAUUUGAUUGGGAUAUUCAAGAUUUUUAGAUAGUGUUAAUUUGACAUCGUCUUCACGAAUGAGGAGAAUUCUAAGUCCUAGACAUAAUAUUAAGCACAUUUAGUUGCACCACUCAUUUGACCUUAUAGUCUUCUAACUGAGGAUCUCCAACGGGUCCAUUUGCCAAACAAUUCUGCUGUCUUCUUCAGAGUCCUUCCCUUCGUCUCUGGCAUGAUUAGGUAAAGGCAAACUCAUGUGAAGACCGCCACACUCAUAAAUAUGAAAAAAGCAGCCCAUCAAGAGUAACUCUCUUAAAAUAAAACACAAAUCCUAAGGAUAUUGAACCACUUGCUAGCUAGUUCACAAAGAUGGCGAUUGCACUCCUCGAUGCAUGCAACCUUAGAGGGAAGAUCUCUUACCAACAUAUUCAAUGACUUAGGUCUCCAUUCGUUUAAAAAAUAUUUAGUUAUUAUAAAGUAUCACAUCAUAAGCCAACAUUGUUAUCAUCAUUAUCAGAUUCUAAGGAAUUUUCUUCAAGCAAUUUCGAGUCUCAUAUGCGGUGCAUGCAUCGAGCAUGCAUUGUGCAUGUUCUAACACCAACAUAAAAAAAAAAAAAAAACAUAAAAAAAAAACAUAAAAAAAAAAAAAACAAAAUGGAGGUGGUGGGUAAUCUGUCUUUUCAUCUCCUCGAAUACUUUACUCAUUCAUGUUAGGAAAACAAUAUGUUGUCUCUCUCAUCUAUUUAUCACAUCGCGUCUGACAGAAGCGAUAGAUGAAUUGUAUACUCUCUAGCUCUCUAGAAGGAUGAAACACCUCUCGUGCCUUCAUCACUAAUUCCGAUCAUCAUUCUGGUGAGCAUCUCCAACCUCUUCCAUCUCCGUCAUCUCCAAUUGAGGUCGACUUUAGCAACGAGCAUGGCGAGCCCAAAGCCUUGAAAAGAGAGAAGUGAACCACCAAAACCUUGAUCUCAGGUGAUCCCUCUCCCUCGCAAUUUAUGGUGUCGGAAGUUUGCUCUAGGAUUACUAUUCCAUGUUAUCAUUUCAUGCAAGUGCAUGUUUUUCAUUUAUGUCAAACUAAAAUAAUGGGUAAAAGGAAAAAACUUUGAUAUUGUCAGAUUUGAUACCAAUCAUUUGUUGUGCUAUAAUGUUCACGAUAUACUCAAUUUGUAGUGUUCUUGUUGACACCUAAAAUUUACAUUUUUAUUUAGGACUUAAUCGCAUACAAAACUAGGAAUUAGUUGCUAAAAAAAAAAAGAAAUCCAAAAAUUGUCAUAAAAAGAAAAAAAAAACGAAAAAAAAAUGCUUAAGGGGGUCUGGUUGGGCCUGAUCUGGCCUGGGCCCGGCCCAGCCCACGCCUGGCUGUCUUCCUCAUUCGCACGCGGACCUGCAAAAAAGAAGAGAAACGGGGGUAGCAGGAAGACAGUGAACAGAGGAGCAUCGGGCAGAAAAAAAGAAGAAGCAAAAGCAGAACGAGGAGAAUCGGCACCACAGAAACACCAAGAGGAGAGCGAGCAAGAGAGAACACACCAAGCACAAAGAGAAACACGGAGGGAAGGAGAGGAGGAGAAAACCCCCCUUUGGCCGUCGAUCGCUGAGGUCGAUCGCCGCUGGAGGUGCCGGCUGCCUCCAACCCCACCGGAACUUCAGGAGGCAGAACAAACAGAACACGGGAGGAUCGGAGACAGAGAGAGGCGGGGAGAGAGUUCGAAGGGGAGAGACCGAACCAGAGGAAAGAAGCUCGAGGGAGCGAGGGAGAGAGAGCUCGAGAGGGUGGUUGGCCGUCGCCGGAGGUCCGUUCUUCAGCCGCCGUCCGCUGCAGCCUUCCCCUCGAACCAGGUAGGCUUUUUCCGACCGUGUGUCCCUUGUUUUCGGAAGACGACGGGCCGAAGUUCGCGCCGACUAGUUCGCGCAAGUUUCGGUCCAAGCCGGUCCUCCCUGAAAGCUGAUAGUUGUUCUAGAUGCGUCGUUAGGGGUUUAGAUUUGUGCUCGUGUCCGUAUCAAGUCGAAAACCCCCCGUGUCAAUAGCGUACACCAAGUGUUUGAUAAAAUGCUUGAAAGAGAACCGAAAGAAUAUUUCACGUUUUGACAUGGGAUCGGUUCAUUUAUUUUGCUUGCUCCUAUAUACGCAGAGUUACAUUUAUUUUGCUUGUGUCCAUUGAGUUUUUUGUACGUUCAUCAUGAAAGAAUCGUAUAUCAUCGAGUGGUGAGGUUUCUUUGUUCCGGCAAAUGGGUUUAUGGUCGCCAGAGUUCGCAGCCGACGGUGGUCUGUGCCGAUUGGAAUGGACGACCGGUAGAUGGUGGUGGUUCGGCGGUGGAACGCCGGUUGCUUCGGUCGGUGUUGCGGUUUGGACGAGCUUCGGUGAGGAACAAGAUCUCGGUGAAAGAAGGGCUUCGAGCGUGCUGAGAACCCACGAAGAAGAAGAAGGCCAGAAGAAGAAAAGAAAAGAUUAAAGGAAAAAGAAAAAAAUUAAAAAACAAUUAAAAAUUAAUAUUGAUAUAAAAACGAAAAAGAAAACAAGAAAAAAAAAGGUUUUAUGAAAUAGGUUUUGUCCGUCUUAGAUUAUGUUCAGGUUGUUGGGCCGGGCUAAUGGGUCGCGUCGGAUUAGGUUUACCCGGUCCAAACCCAUUUUUUCGAAUAUAAUAAUAUUAAACAUUAAAAAUAUAUUAAAAAUUCAAAAAUUUUCAAAAAAUUCAAAAAUUUCGAAAAAAAUAAUAAAAAUAUAAAAAUAUUUCCGAAAAUUCAAAAAACUCAGAAAGCAUUAAAAAUUCGACCUUUUUCUUAAAACUCAGAAAGCAUUAAAAAUUUAAAAAAAUAUUUUUUUAUUUAAAAAUUUAUUAUAAAAAAAUUUCGAAAAUUAAAAAAAUGUAGGAAUUGAUUAGGAAUUGCAAUAUCUUGCAUUCUUAGUGUAGUUAGGCCUUUAUUUGCUCAUAUUUUGAUUAUAUUGUAUGUUUAAUUUGCAUAUCUAAUUCUAUUUAAAUUGCAUGUGUUUAAUUUUACUGUAAUUAGGAUAUUGGUAGCUAUGAUUGUUAUUUUAAUGACUGUGUACCCGCAUGUCGCGCGACAAUUCUCGAUGAUCAAUUUGCAUAUUGCAAUUAGCUCGAUUGGUCAUCUUGUGGGGAAACAAUUGUCGGAUUUUUUUCCCAUGAAUAGCAAAGAUCACCUACCUAUGAAAGCAAGGACGAUGUUACAGUUGUGGGCUUCCGAGUAAGAUGAUGUGCUCGAUUCAAAGGUAUGAUAGGUGAUCCGACUUAAGGGUGCCAUGACAAAUCAAGUCUUCCAAAUGAAGUGACUGACCAAAAAGGAUGGAGAGUCCCACGAAAGGUCCUAGUUAGGAUUUAUGGUGAGGGUGUAAAGGUAUGGGACGAUGAGAUCCGGACUUUUUGAGUUUAUGUCUAAACAUGGGCAGGGGCGUCAUAUGUUGGGUAGGUUCUCUUAUGGGCGAAUGGAAGAGUUCAUCCAUGCACGGAUAAUUCUCUUACCCUAUUUAGGUGGAUUCUUGCUCAUUUAACUCACAAUUUAAAGCGUGUACGAGGUACGAGGUGGGGAAUGUGCUCUCUACCCAAGCCAAGAAAGAAGGCUUUUCUCAAUUCUCCUUUUUGUUCCACUUUGUUGUUUUUGCUUUCCUAUUUUUGCUUCUUCACGAUAACCAGUGCUUUUAAAAUUGCAUGAUAAUAAUGGAUAUUUAGAAUUUUUAAUACAAUUAACUUUUAGGUUAAUGCCCCGAAAAACUCAAAACUUGUACACAUGUGACAAAUUUAUCCCAGAUUAAUUUUUUGACCAUAAAAAACCCCAAAUUGAUACACAUUUGACAAAUUUACCUCAAACUAGUACAUGUAAUAAAUUUAUCGUCUAAUUUCUGUUAAAUUUUACUGUCAAAUUAUUAAGUUGAAUGACACAUGAUAGUUGACUAGUGUAACAGUUAGGGAUUUUACUUUCCAUUUGUCACAGUUAUAUAAUUUUUGUGAUUUUUUAUGAUAUUAAUCUAAUUUAAUGAAUAGUAUAUUUGUUACAAAUGUACCAGUGUGGGGUUUUUGACGGUCAAAUAAAUUAGUUUUUGGUAAAUUUAUUACAAGUGUACCAGUUUUGGGUUUUUUUUAUGGUCAAUUGAGGUAAAUUUGUCACAAAUGUACCGGUUUGUGAUUUUUUGUAAUUAAAAAAAGAGUUUGGAGUAAAUUUGUUACACGUGUACUAGUUUGAGAUUUUUCAAGGUACUAACUCUUUUUUUUUUUCAAAUUUUUAAAUAUUUUCAAACUAUCUUUUAAAAAUCGUGGAGUGAUGGUUAGAAAUAUAAAUGAAAGUUGAAAUAUUAAAUUCACCAAAUGCAUUCUUUAUAACUAGUAGAUGAUUCUUUGUAGUUUUACUUGUACUUUGGUUAUUUUUAGAAUAAUGGUUUCUUAGUUAAUAAAAAAAAAACUAUACAACUCAUAAACAUAAUAACUUUUUAAUUAUCUAAUAAAUAUAAUUUUUAAUUUUUUUUUUGGAAAAGAAAGACAACGAUUUCCUCCCAAAUGGGGAAAAAAGAAAAUCAAAAAAGAUAAAAAGGUAAAAUAUAAUCUUAAAGGUUAAUAUCCUAAAAAACCCAAAACUGGUACACUUUUAACAAAUUUACCCUAAACUAGUACACUUGUAACAAAUUUACCUUUUGUUAAUUUCCGUUAAAUUUUACUGUCAAAUUACUAAAUUAAAUUACACAUGACAAUUGACCCGUAUAUCAAUUUGAGAUUUUUCUCUCCAUUUGUCAUAGUUAUGAUUUUUUGUGAUAAUAAUUCAAUUUAACGGAGGAAUAUACUGGUUUAGGUUAUUUGGUGGUCAAAUAAAUUAGUUUAGAGUAUAUUUGUCACAAAUGUAUUAGUUUGAGGUUUUUUGUGUGGUCAGUUUGGGUAAUUUUGUCACAAAUGUACUAGUUUUAAGGUUUUUUUAUGAUAAAAAAAAUUAGUUUGGACCACCUGUGGUGGCAGCGUAGUUAUUGGGCGCUGGUUCCUUUCACGAGAGGUCCAGUAUUCGAAUCCCUACGUUAUCUGCCUUGUUGGAAAAGAACCCACGACUUACCCAAGGAGCAAGGGUGGUGGUGACUACUCCCUCCAGGGUUUACUCCACUGCGAAGCGGCGCACGAAGAUUCCCUAGGUUACAAAAAAAAUAAAAAUAGUUUGGAAUAAAUUUACCAGUUUAAGAUUUUUCAAGAUAUUAACCCUAAUCUUAAAUCAAGAAUAAGCCCAUAUUUGAGAUUAAUCUUUGUUGUUUGAGUUUAAGAUGGUAGAUUUGUCUUUUAGUAAAUUUGAAAUCAAAGAAAAAAAAUGUAGGAAAUAAUCUUAAGUUAAUGGCAGGACCCACACUGGAUAGUUUGGUCAAUCCAAGAUUAUAGAGGGUGUCGAAAGCCAAAAAACUAGUGGAAAAGUGCAAGCUAAAAAAUAUUGCGAUAGAAGAAAAUAACAUGAGUUAGGUUCCAUUUGUUUUAUAAAAAAAAUAAUUAAUUUGGAAAAUAUUUUUCUAAAAAUGAUCUCUUAUCACAUACGAAAAAUGAACAAACAAAAAAUAUCUUCAUUGUUUAUGAAAAUAUUAAAACAUAAAUUAUCUUCGAUAAUAAAAAUAUUUUUAUUUGAUUAAUCAUUUCAAUUGAUAUGAGCAAUUGUUUUUAAGAAAAUAUUGUUCAAAUCAUGUAUUUUUCUAGAAAAAUAGACUUAAAUUGGUGUAGGAUAAAAAAAUUUACUUUUAUGUGGAAUCUAUACACAGGAGAUUUAUUAAGUAAAUAUGAUAAUUAAUUUUCCCCUUCUUAGUAUAUAAAAUAAUAUAUAGAUAUAUAAAUUAUAACGACGAUAUAGUUUGGUACUUAAUCUACAUUGACCAAUAUAGAGUAAGUUUGUGAAUAUCUUUUUUCUGCUCUGAAUAGAAAAAAAACAUAAAUUUGUGUGGUAAUGUCAUAUAAUUUUUGUAUUUCCUAUAACAUGUCACUGCCGAGGAAAUAAAUUUAGAACAUAACAAAAAGUAUAAAAAAAAACUAAUUUUUUUAUUCUUGAGAACAAAAAGAAAAAUAAGGCCAUUAAAAAAAAAACUCAACAUAACAAAAUACUUGUCUUUACACAAUCGGCACAAGAUUUGGCCUCUUGACCCAAUUCGAGUCCCCAUUUUUUGGAACAAAAAAAUAAAAAUAAAAAAUUAGAAAUUUAGGAAAAAAAUUAGAAAUUAGAUUUUGAGUAAUUUCACUAGAUUUUAGUGUUACUUCUAGUCUAAAAUUAGUUUGACAUUAAAAAAUAUGAAAAUCUCUCGAUGAAAAUUGGAUUCAAAAUUGAAUAAGCUUUUAAGGCUUUAAAAUAUAGAUUUUUGAAUGGCAUUUUAUUUUGGAGAUAAUGUUUGGUCAUGAAAAUUUGGCGACUCUAGUCUUGUUCCCUUAAGAUUGUAGUGGAGGCAUCUUUUAAGAUCAUCUACAAUCCUGUUUUAAUAUAAAAUUAGAUGGCUCUGAACAAGUCUUUGUUAUUACCAUUUGUUUUGUAUUACUAGCAGUUGAAUAAGCAUAUUCUAUGAAUCUCUAAUGUCAUUUGCUUGAAGGUUUGAUAAGUUUGUGCAAAUAAACACACCAAAUAUCCUCAAUUGUUCCAUGAUUGUCCAUUCUACCAAGCAACUUUUGCUCUUCUUCUUGCAAUUGAAAAAUCUCAAAAGGUCUAAGCACCUUUUUAUUGUAAUGCCUAAAGAUUUAUUGUCAACCUCCUCAUAUUGUAAGUUAUAAACUAGUGAGAUACUCUACUACCAUUUCCAGUCAUUGAUUUUUGAUUGAUUAGUUGGAUUUUCAAAGGCCUCUUCGAAUAUCUUGAUCAAUUAAAUUUUAAAAAGGUCCAAUUUUAUGAAAAUAUAAAUUGUUAAGUCUCCAUUAACAUUUUAUAAUUAAAUGGAAAAAAAUUGGGAAUAUAAAUUAUUAGGAUUAUACCAAAUGCAUUCUUGUUUUUUUUUUUUAUAUUUAAUUCGGGAAUAUAAAUUUUAUGUAAUUACCAAACACGAUCUUUUGCUCAUAAUAGAAAUAAUUAUUUAUGAACAUAAAUUAUCACUGAAAACAAAAAUAUUACCAAACACACCAUAGAUGCAAAGUCGAAUUAAAACUCUGAAAUGACACAUUUUUCUCUUAUUUUAGGAAUAAGAUUCUAAUCACUCAAAUUUAUUUAGAGAAAUUUAAAUUUUGCAUGUUGAGAGCACGAUAAAUUUAAGGCCAUUAGAUGGGCAUGUUAGGUUGGGCAAAAAAAAAGGUCCUACUCAAAUUGAUUAAAAAGGGUAAAUCAUAAUAAUUUUGGAUAAGUUUAAGGAAUUACAUGCAAAUAUGAUGAUAAUUGAUGGCAAUGUGCCAUGUCACUACUUAUGGCCUUGCUCAAAUCAAUUAAAAUGGUAAAUCAUAAUAAUUUUGGAUAAUUUUAAGGAAUAAUAUGCAUAUAUGACGAUUAUUGAUAGUAAUGUGCCAAUUCACUACUUACAAUCCUGCUCAAAUCGUUUGAAAAUGGUAAAUCAUAAUGAUUUUGGAUAAGUUUGAGGAAUUAUAUGCAAAUAAGAUGAUGAUUGAUGGUAAUGUGCCAUGUCACUACUUACAGUUUGGCUCACAUCGAAUAAAAAUGGUUAAAUAUAUUUUUUUUGAUAAGUUUAAGGAAUUAUUUGCAAGUACAAUGACGAUUAAUGGUAAUCUGAUAUUUACGUUCCUGCUCAAAUCGAUUAAAAAGGUUAAAUCAUAAUAAUUUUAGAUAAGCUUAAGGAAUUAUAUGGAAAUACGACGAUGCUUGAUGAGUAAUUUGUGAUUAAAAAUGAUAAAUCAUAAUGAUUUUAGAUAUGUGUAAGGAGUUAUUUUACAGGUACGAUGUUGAUUGAUGGCAACCCGCCACGUCACUACUUGCCGAGAUUAAGGUUGUCGUCUUCUACCGGGGCAGAAUCCCUUCUUACCAUAUACAGAACAGCCUUCCCAGAACGGCUUUCGGACAGCUACAAAUGGCGGCCGCACGGGACGCGGUGGCCUCUUAAACCCUAGCUCCGCCGCAGCAGCAGCCUCGCCCCCCGUCGCUCCGCCUCCGCUCCGCCUCCGCUCCGCCUGCGGCCGCCGUCUCCGUCGCAGGUAACGGCGGCGACUCGCCCCUCUCUCUGCCCGUCUCUCUGCCGCCGGGUUUUCCCCCCUCGUGCUCUUGCUGUCGAGUCGAUGGGCGGUGCCCAGUUCAUGGUCUCGUUCUCCGAUCAUCUCGCUUUGGCGGUCGGAGAGUGGGGGAAUGAACCGGUGGCCGGAACGAAUUUGGAUUCCGGAAUGGAUUGACAUCUGUUGAGAUUGUUGUCUGUUUGAUCAUGAACGUCCUAGAACCUGCCUGACAUGUGUUUGCUUGGAGGUUUUCGAGAUGUUUUUUUUCAGUCCCAGAUUGUGUGUCUCUUCUCUUAUCUUGCAUGUCAUUUUGGUUUAUGGUGGAUUGUAAGUUUUUUUUUGUUUUUUUUUUUUCAGUGAUGGAUGAACCUUUAGGGCUGAUUGCUUGUCAUUCUAAUUGUAGUUGUCAUAGUUGGAUGCUCUUUUUUGGGGAUUUUGGGUUAAUGUCUAUGAUGUGAGGAAUUUCUUGAUUCCAUCUCCAGUCCAAAAUGCGAGCAAUUAAGAAUUGGGUCGUCGAAUGAGUUGAGAAAUUUACAGCAUGGAUUCUCUUCUUCUUUUCCUGGUUUUUGGGUGAGGAAAACGUUGUCUCAUUUUAUUCCCUUCGAUAGCUUGAUCCACAAGUCGCGGCUGGAUAUGUCAUGCAUAUUGAACCCUGUUCAAGCUGCUCGUUGCUUCAGUUCCCUCUUGGCUGGUGCCCGGUUCAUGGUUUCAUUUUACGAUCAUCUCGCUUUGACUGGUUGGAGAGUGGUGGAAUGAAUCAGUGGCUGGAACGAAUUUGGAUUCUGGAAUGGGUUGACGUUUGUUGAGAUUAUUGUCGAUUUGAUCAUGAAUGCCCGAGAUGCUGACGUGUGUUUGCUUGGAGGUUUUCGAGAUGUUUUUUGUUUUUUUUAUUUUUUUCAGUCCCAGAUUGUGUCUCUUCUCUUAUCUUGCAUGUCGUUUUGGUUUAUGGUAGAUUGUGAGUUUUUUUUUCCUCAGUAAUGGAUGAACCUUUUGGGUUGAUUGCUUGUCAUUCUAAUUGUAGUUGUCAUAGUUGGAUGCCCUUUUUUGGGGGUUUUGGGUUAAUGUACAUGAUGUGAGGAAUUUCUUGAUUCCAUCUCCAGUCCAAAAUGCAAGCGAUUAAGAAUUGGGUUGUUGAAUGAGUUGAGAAAUUUGCAGCAUUCUCUUUUUUUUAAUCUUCUUCUUUUCCCGGUUUUUGGGUGAGGAAAACGUUGUCUCAUUUUAUUCCCUUCGAUAGCUUGAUCCACAAGUAGCGGCUGGAUAUGUCAUGCCUAUCAAACCCUGUUGUGCCAUCGAUUCAAGCUACUCGUUGCUUCAGUUCCCUCUUGGCAAACACUUGUGAGUCUCGAGUAUUAGCUGGAUUGUAUUGAGUUCAUUGAUCUAAGAUAUGCAAUGACGUGUGAUUAUAUUGUUGUAUUAUCUUUUAGAGAUGGCAACAUGCUACUUCUGUCACUUAUUUUGUUUGGAAAGCUGCUACUAUUUAAUAUAAAUUGUUUUCCUUGUUAAUUGUUUGUUAAUUCAUUAAUAGGGUUGAAGUGCAGGAGUAAGAUUUCCAAAGGCGCUGGGUAUGGCAUUAGCUCUUAAAUCAACUUGCUUUGUUCAACUUAAGAGACCCAAAUCUUGCUAUGCUUUUCGGUCUUCGCGGCAACUAGCAGUUGUUUCUACCAGAAGAAGUACGACAAUGGCUGCUCUUAGCACUAUAGCGACAAUUGGCAUCUCUGAGACGUUUGCUAAAUUGAAGAAAGAAGGCAAGGUAAGAGAGUUUCUUCUUUUCUUUUUUUUUAUAAUGAAUUCAAUGAUUAUCUGUUGUAACUGUUUGCUUCAAAAUUUUUGCUGUUUGUUGAUUUUUUGGGUGGGAAGGUCAUCUUGAUGUGACAUGACAUGGUUGCUUCCUUGUUUGAUCUCAGUUGAACUAUUGAGCAUUUUUAUUGGCGAAGUGUUGGAAAUUUGUAAGGUUUAGCAACUGAAUUUAAGAGAUUUUUGUACUAUUGUUAAGAUUAACCCUUGCUGCAACUAAUUCACACUAUGAGGAUUGAUCAUUCUAUUUUGUGUGUUACUUUCUGCUCUUAUCCUGUUAUACAUACGUACAUCAUUUGUCUAGAAAUUUUAUAUAUUUGCAAUUUGGAAUGAGUAGCAUCACACACCAUUUCCUAAUUACAAGAACAUUAAAUUUGUAAACUUCAUUUUUAGUUUGCAAAGCACAUCAUUUGAACUAAACAAGUCCCAGGGGUCAUUCAUUGACACUUUCCAAAAAGAUGGCAAUUUAGUUUGAAUGUAGUUGUGAUGCAGCGGCCGUUAUUUAAAUAUAAGAAUGAUGCUCUUUAAUGACAACUGUGUUCUUUCAUUUUGUGAAGGUGGCAUUUAUUCCUUUCAUCACAGCUGGUGACCCUGACCUUUCAACGACCGCACAAGCUUUGAAGUUGCUUGACUCAUGUGGUUCAGAUAUAAUUGAGCUAGGUGUCCCGUAUUCUGAUCCUCUAGCAGAUGGUCCAGUAAUUCAGGUCUAGUAUUUCAAUAUCUUAUAGAUUAUUUAAUCUAAGUUUUGUUCAUCUUAUACAUCUUCGUUUUUAGGCUGCAGCCACUCGAUCCUUGGCUAAGGGUACUAAUUUUGAUGCCGUUAUUUCCAUGUUGAAGGAGGUAAGACUGUUUGUGCCUUGUGUCAUACUUGAAGAGACUGAUUAAUUGUUGCCAAAGCUGUGCUUAUUUUCCUUUUAAUGGACAGUUCAAGGUCCAAAUGACUUAUUCUUAUCACAUUUAUUUACUAACGUAGCCUUAUCUUCUAGCAAAGAAAUUAAAUUUGUGAUGCUGCUUUUGAAAUUUUCCAGACUAUAUGUUACUCUCACAUAGUGCAUUCUAUCCUGAUGAUAGGAAGUUAAUUUUUCUUGACAUAAUGCUACUUUUUAGGGUGAAAUUUGUCUGAAACAUUGCAUCAUAUUGUUCUUUUCAGAUUCAGUGUUCCCAUUUUGUACUAGUGAUCCUCGUAGUGUAGAAAUGGUGAUGUAUAUGUGAAACCAUCCUUGGCGGUUGCAGAAUGUUAAUUUAUAUUUUGUUUCCUUCAUGCAUUUUUGAGAUCUCAUUCUGAUGCUGCAGUUUUCAAUGAAUAGGUUGUUCCGCAAUUGACAUCUCCUGUUGCUUUAUUCACAUACUAUAACCCGAUUUUGAAGCGUGGAGUUGAGAAGUUCAUGUCCAUCGUAAACGAUGUAGGGGUUCAUGGUAAUUUGCAAGUUUCCCUCAUCUUUUGACUUAAAACACUUACAUCUAUCUGCAUACAACACUUUGGUUAAAUUUAGUAAUAUGAGGAAAAAUAAUUUUUUAUUUUUUCCCACAUCCUUGGCCAAGAUGAGAAAUCAGUUGAAUGUAUUCAAUUUUGGAUGUAGAUGUCAUGAUGUAAGCAAGCAUUGUCAACUUGCCUAUCAUUACUGGCACAAACUCGAUUGCAUAGUUCAGUUCUUAAAUUUAUCCAUGUUUAGUUUUUCAUUGAACAUUUGUUGAAAGAGCUAUCAAGGGAAUAAUCACCAAUGGAUCAAAGGAAUACUACAGUCAUAAUAUUACAAGCAAAAACCAAAAGGUUAUUUUGGAAAUCUAUCAUGAAGCUUUUUAACAAAAGUGACCAUUGGAAAAGAGUGAGAAACCAUUUAAACCAAUUUUUGGCUUAGACUAGUAUGCAGAUCAAAUUGCCAGGCCAACUGAAAUUAGUUUUCAAUCAUUAUCACAGCUGUGAGGUGUUUUCUUUUUUUCUUUAGAGGUGAGAUGAGUAUAACUAAUUGAUUGAAGAUCUCAAUGGAAGCCUUUAUGCUUUAGAAGGAGCUACUAAAAAGUUUUUAUGUUCUCUCUUCUAAGUGAUGCACCGAUGUCUAAAUUAGCUAGUGAUAAUAAUUUCGUAGUAUUAAUGGAGGAUGCUUUUUAAAUUGAAAAAGUAAAACUGAAAGUACAUUCCUGUUCAUUCAUGGUGUCUAGAUCUGUUUUAGCUUGUGAUCUUGUCUGUGCCCC